rnacentral:rRNA from 1 species
GCAUAAUCAUUGUCUAUUAAUUGUAGACCUGUAUGAAAGGCAAAAUGAGGGCCUAACUGUCUCUUAUAAUCAAUCAAUUAAACUGAUCUCCCAGUACAAAAGCUGGGAUACACACAUAAGACCAGAAGACCCUGUGAAGCUUAAACUAAACCAUCAAACCACAUGAUGAUUAAUUUCGGUUGGGGCGACCUUGGAAAAAAAAAGAACUUCCAAACAAAACACCAAACAUAAAAUCAGGCCUACCAGCCAAAAACGACCCAGCAUUGCUGAUUAAUGAAACAAGUUACUCCAGGGAUAACAGCGCUAUCUUCUUCAAGAGCCCAUAUCAAAAAGAAGGUUUACGACCUCGAUGUUGGAUCAGGACAUCCUAAUGGUGCAGCAGCUAUUAAGGGUUCGUUUGUUCAACGAUUAACAGUCCCACGUGAUCUGAGUUC